UUCCGGUUGAUCCUGCCGGACCCGACUGCUAUCGGAGUGGGGCUAAGCCAUGCGAGUCGUACGCUUCUUGACUGCAAGAGGCGUGGCGAACGGCUCAGUAACACGUAGCUAACUUAACCUAGAGACGUGGAUAACCCCGGGAAACUGGGACUAAUCCGCGAUAGAUCAAGGCUCCUGGAAUGGGCUUUGGUCGAAAGGGAUGGACAAGCAUGUUUUGUCCAUCUGCUCUAGGAUAGGGCUGCGGCCGAUCAGGUUGUUGGUGGGGUAAUGGCCCACCAAGCCUAUAACCGGUACGGGCUUUGAGAGAAGGAGCCCGGAGAUGGACACUGAGACAAGGGUCCAGGCCCUACGGGGCGCAGCAGGCGCGAAACCUUCGCAAUACGCGAAAGCGUGACGAGGUCACUCCGAGUGCCACUCGCUGAGGGUGGCUUUUCCCAAGUCUAAAAAGCUUGGGGAAUAAGGGGAGGGUAAGUCUGGUGUCAGCCGCCGCGGUAAUACCAGCUCCCCGAGUGGUCGGGACGUUUAUUGGGCCUAAAGCAUCCGUAGCCGGUCUUGUAGGUCUUCUGUUAAACCCAACGGCCCAACCGUUGGACUGCAGAAGAUACCGCAGGACUAGGAGGCGGGAGAGGCGGACGGUACUCCAUGGGUAGGGGUAAAAUCCUUUGAUCCAUGGAAGACCACCAGUGGCGAAGGCGGUCCGCCAGAACGCGCUCGACGGUGAGGGAUGAAAGCUGGGGGAGCGAACCGGAUUAGAUACCCGGGUAGUCCCAGCCGUAAACGAUGCGAGCUAGGUGAUGGAGUGGCUGUGUGCCAUUCCAGUGCCGCAGGGAAGCCGUUAAGCUCGCCGCCUGGGGAGUACGGCCGCAAGGCUGAAACUUAAAGAAAU
rnacentral:rRNA from 1 species